UCAACGAAGAUAUCCAUCCGAAGGAGUGAAACGACACCGUAUUCGAAUACCAAUUUCAUUGAAUUGGUGACGGUCACGAAUUAGGGCUGGAUAUUUGGCAGCUUGGCGUUUGAAUUCAGCGUCUUGUAGACGAAUUGGGUUUUUCACUUCGAGGCGUGCUAUAUUUCUUGGACUGGAGAAUUCAGCCGCCGACCGGCGUCGAAAGUCUCGCCGGAGAUGAUGACGGUUAAUUUUGAAGAACUCAUCGAGAAAUGGAACAAAUUUGCAAGAUCGUAU
rnacentral:lncRNA from 1 species